GAGAUGAAAUGCGAAGCUAUAUUUUACCGUUAAGUCUGUGUACAAUUUGAUCAGAGAUGGGGGUGUCCAGGAUAAUCUUCUGCGAAAAUUCUGGGAUUUAAAAUUACCGUAUAAAGUUAAAAUCUUUAUUUGGUUAGUUCUUAGAAAACGCCUGUCUACAGCAAAACGAGGUUGGUUUAGAAAUCAACAAUGAUUAUGUAUAGUUGCGAAGUUGAGACUGUCGAUCAUUUACUGGUGGGAUGCGUACUUAGUAGAUUUUUAACAGUCAACAUCCUAAAAAAUAGAUAUAUUUUGGGUUCUAUAACAGAGGUCAGGGGUGUAUGGAAGCUUCUAUUCGGAAACAAAGCAAAAAAUAGCAGCAGUAAAGGAUCUAAUUUUAGUUGCUGUAUAUUAGUGGACGAUUUGAUAGAAAAGAAACAAUAUAAUUUUUAGAAAGUAAUCUUUCGACCCUUUAGGGCCUGUUAUACAAGUGUAAGAUGUGGGAAAGAA
rnacentral:lncRNA from 1 species